AUUGAACGCUGGCGGCAGGCCUAACAAAUGCAAGUCGAACGAGUGGCGGACGGGUGAGUAAUGUCUGGGAAACUGCCUGAUGGAGGGGGAUAACUACUGGAAACGGUAGCUAAUACCGCAUACCAUCGGAUGUGCCCAGAUGGGAUUAGCUAGUAGGUGGGGUAAAGGCUCACCUAGGCGACGAUCCCUAGCUGGUCUGAGAGGAUGACCAGCCACACUGGAACUGAGACAAGGUCCAGACUCCUACGGGAGGCAGCAGUGGGUAAUAGUGCACAAUGGGCGAAAGUCUGAGGCAGCCAUGCCGCGGGUAUGAAGAAGGCCUUCGGGUUGUAAAGUACUUUCAGCGGGGAGGCGUUACCCGCAGAAGAAGCACCGGCUAACUCCGUGCCAGAAGCCGCGGUAAUAC
rnacentral:rRNA from 1 species